rnacentral:rRNA from 1 species
UUAUAUUCAAGUGGGUGUGGUUUCUUGUUUUAUUUUAUUUAAAAGGUAAUCAGGUCAAUUUAAAUCUAAUUGGAACUUGGCUCUGAUUUUUAGUACGGUGUGGAUUAAAAGAAACACAUGGUUUUUCUAGAUAAAAGCGAGGUAAGGUUAUAAAUAUAUAAAAAUAUAAAAUUAUUAUAGUUGUUUAAAUCUUAAGGUAUUAUGAAAAGAAAUUAUGCCUUGUAAAGUCCCGCUAAACGCCAGUGUUGGAGGUUAAGAAAAAAGUGAAAACUUGUAUUAAUUUAGUCCAUCAAAUCUGGUGAAUUUGGUGCCAGCAUCCGCGGUUAUACCAAGAGAUUAAAUCGUAUGUCUUGGUAAAAAGAUAGUUAUGUAUAUAAAUUAGUUUAUUAAUUGUUUAUUUAAAAGUAAAAUUUAUAUAUAAACAAAAUGAAUCUAAAAUGACUUAUAAUACUGAAGCUAUGAUAGCCUUGAGGGAAACUGGGAUUGGAUACCCCAUUAUUCUUGGUUGUAAAAAAAUAAUAAUUUACCUGAGUACUAUGAACAUGAUGGUUUAAAACUCAAAGGGCUUGGCGGUGUUUUAGAUCACUCAGGGGAACCUGUUUCAUAAUCGACAAUCCGCGUUACACCUAACCUUCUUUCGUUUCCAGCUUGUAUACCGUUGUCGCCAGGUAACUUUUAAAAAUAAAAAAGCUAGCUAAUAAACAUUUAAGUUUAGACGUCAGAUCAGGGUGCAGUCUAUAAGAAGGAGAGAAUGGGUUACAAUUAUUAAAUUAUAAUUACGGAAAAUUAAUUGAAAAAUUGGUUUUGAAGGCGGACUUGAAAGUAAUUUUAAUUAUAUAAAUAAUUUGAAUUAGACUCUGAGACGUGCACACAUCGCCCGUCGCUCUCGUUGAAAAAUGAGAUAAGUCGUAACAUAGUAGGGGUAAUGGAAAUUGUCCCUAGAUG